rnacentral:sRNA from 2 species
UGACCGCUUAUUAAAAGCUGAGGCUACACGGACGGCCGGGUCAAAUGCCGA